CCAGCUCUGUGUUUCUAAAGAAAAGGCUACCUUUGCUUUUCAAGAAGCAUGGUAUCAAACACAAUCGAGCGAUCAUUUACUAACACUGCCUGAACUGACAAACGCAGGAUUAAGCCAGUAAAAACUUGCAACAACAGCAUGGCCGUGCCUCUACAUCACCCAGUCAUCUAACCCGCCCCUACGUGUUAGCCAUCUAAAGCAGGAUUACUCCUCAUAGCUUUAACUACUUCAGCGACUCAGCUUUUAGAAGAAGAAGGAAAAAAUCAUGGCGCAUGGGAGCCUAAAUAAAUCGGACAUGUGAUGGCUACGCAGAAAUGGCAACGUUGAACCAGAUGAGAAGAAAAGAGAAAGAAAAGAGAAUCCUCUGGAGUGGACGUCCAUGUGACUGUGUAGAACCUGUAUAGAAGAUCAUAGAAGAGACAUGGAUACGUUGUAUGCCACAGGCAGACAUAGGUACAGGCAAAGUGCUCAGUGACUGACAAGAAAAUAUGUUGCCUUCUAAACCCAAAGGUGUUGUUAUCUUUCACACUAUGUAAAGUCGCAUAAUGCAGCUCUUAACAUUUUUCUAGGAAUCAUUGUUGGAUGGUAGAAAAGUAGAUUUUAUACAUGACGUCCAACAUGUACAUCAUCUGUUUAAAUACAGGAUGUGGUGAAGUGGUGAGAGAACACUCAGUUUGACAGGUCCUCGUGGUGAAACAUCAUGUUUCCAGCAUUGCUUUGUUGCUCACAUUUUUUUUUUAUCUCAAAUACUCUAAGGUAGAGUAUGCCAGAGUUUUGUGUUAAUGCAGAUCAUGUAGCUCCCUGCAGGGGGAGCUGAUGAUGCUGUAUAAAUGCCAUAUUAGGUCUACCUUCGAUGUUAUAUCUAGCUCACCUCAGUUCUUAAAAUUAAAAUUAUUUUAUAAAAAAAAGGUUAAGUCAAAGUUUGCAGAGAUUACCUAAAGAUGGGGAACAGUUUUAGGUCCAUAGUGCAGCCUCUUAUAGAUCUGUUUUUAUUGUUAAUCAUCUCAACCUGAUAAAGGAAAAAGAUGGAAAAUGGUGUAGCUAAUAUAGUCACCUUUUUUCUUUUUUAGGGAAAUUCCGGCAUACUCUACCUUCAAAUUUCUGCGUAGACAUUAAAGUUCAGACUCGGAGCUGAGGGGUCUCUCUUCACCUCUUCACCGUUCUUGUCCUAAAGCCAGGUCAGCAGCUCCACCUCAGAAGCCUUACUCAAUGGAAACCUCACUCAGCUGGAAAACAUCAAACAGAUACCUCAGACAUUUGUUUUUACAAUAGCUUUGAAGGGAACCAAACAUAAACUCUGGACACACACACACACACACAGAGAUUCAAACACACUACAACUCAGUUACUCAGUAUUUUACAGUGUAUGAUGUCAUACGUACACUAAAGCAGUUGCUGCUGGUUUUAUUCAGUAGGAGACUUUACAUUGAAAUCCUGUUGCCAGUUCACAGUCUGUAUGUCAGUGGAUCCCCAUGUUUUUGAUUGACAAGUCUAAUGUCUCAUCACCUUCUUCCUGUCUUGUCGUCUGUCUUCUCUCUAAUGUCAUGAGGUGCCGCUGAGCAUUUAACCAAACAUACUACCUCCCCCUUCUGCACACACAGUGCAUAUACAUAUAUACAUAUACAUCUACGUAUAUGUAUAUAUAUGUUUGUGUGUGAAUACAAUAUUUUGUUCUGGAAUCACAACUUCUGUUUACAACAAGGGAUCUCUUCUAUUUUUAACACUAACUUAGAAGUUUGGUUUUUUUUAUACAGUGCUUUUUCCCUUUUUGAAUGCUGGAUUUUUUUUUUUCCAAUUCUACCAAAUGCUAACAAAUAUGUUAUUCAAUCAGAGACCUCUGUAAUGUCAAACAUCCAUGUCAUGUGUGAAAGUCACACAGCAGCUUUUAGUUUCCAGACACUUCACACCUCUGGUACUUUGAUCUCAAGCUGACUUCUACCUGUUGGGUCUAACGUUUUUUUAGUUUUCAGGAAAUGUCUUACCUAAUCCCAGACGUCACUUUGACUCUGCGAAAACAACAAUACUAGAAACAAACAGAGGAAUCUGCCAAUGAGGUGAGACUGUUUGCUUUGUGAUAUUUUUCUGAAAAAGUACAGGGGUCAUUAAUAUGAAAGACUAAAAUACCCCAUUGUUACACAUUUUAUCUUGAAUUUAGCUAAGUGAUCUUCUUGCUAUUCUGAAUAUAGUAGAAAAAUAACUGCUUAUUAUAACUGGUUUACCUGUAACUGGUAAACAGCUCGAAAUGAGAUGAAAAUUAUUAUUAAAGUGAGGUCAGCGGUAUUUCUUCUUUUUAACAGAUAACAGAUUAUUUUUUCAGCACCUAACGGACAGAGAGGGGAGGCUGCAAAGAAUGGUCUGGAGCACUUACUACUUCACCUUGACUUAAGGAUGCUUACUUUCUCUGAGGAGAGUUUUCAGAAGCGUCUCUAGAUUGUGUUAAAAUCACUACGUUCACAGGCAGUUUUACGUGCACACCACUGCUCUGUACGCUGACUAAACAAUUUUAGACGAUAUGGAAGCUUGUCUCUGAGGUCAAUAUUAGGGUCUCUCUUUUUCUUAGUUUAGAAUAAAAACAGUGAUUAGUCUCAGAGAGUCACCAAAAACAUCUUUUUUCAUUUAACACUUUUUAUCUCUGUUUCAUCAGUAUUUUGCCCUUGUUUGUUGCUGUGUGGGCAUUAACCUGAUUUUGGCAGAGAGAUGAAAGCUGCUGUGUGAAUGUAGCAGAGGUGAUGGAGGGAUGUGGCUUUUUUUUCCGGACACACAGGGGUCAUGUGUCAGACUGGCAAAUAUAGACUUGCACGUCCUUCACUUCGAAAACGAAAUGUUACCUGUGGUGAUGUAGUAAACUGUCACCUGAUUUGACCAUCAGUCUGAAACAACCCCCCACCCCCGACCCCACCCCCUCUGGCCUGUUUAAGGAACUCCAGUCACACAGUCUCCUCCUCCAUCCGUCUGCCUCACUUCUUUUUUCUUUUCUUAAAUCUUCCUUCAGGGUUUGUAACAUUGGGAUCCAGUUUUUGACGACUGAGAUAUGAAACAGUACUUAUUUUUAUUUUGAAUCCUCACACCAUCUUCAGUCCAGUCACAGCACCCUACCGCCUUCUAACCUCUGAACUUUGUGCCGCUUUGCUGCUCUCACUCAGAUUCAUACAAACAGGCCUUUUGGAAUAUACUCUGAAUAUUCUCUGUAUUAUAUAUUGUACGAUGAUUAUUUCAACGUGAAGGUCAUUUUCUUUCAUUAGCUGCCUUUGAAGCUUACAUCUGUAAAUGAACAGACUGGAAUCACUUAGAUAUUUACUUUAAAGACAGAACAUCGAAGGUAAACAUGUCUCUCAAAAUGUGAAACCUAAUUUGCCAAAUGUAGAUAAAGAUAAAAGUACAAGUUCUUGACAUUUGACUUAAAAAAAGUAAAAAAGAACAACUAAAAAUUCGAUUGGUUUAAAGUUACUGCACCACACUCAAAAGUUAGCAACAUAUGUGCUAAAAGUAAAUAGAAGUAAAACAGGAAAAAGUGUAGCAAAAACCUAGCUUCAACAUUUAUGUAUAUAUAUAUAUAUAAAGAUGAAUCUUCUACUAAAAGACUCCUGUGUCGCAUGCUGACGACUUUUCUCUGGUCACCUUUCUCUGCUACCUCUUCAAAUAAAACUGCGCUUGCUUAAACACACACGCACACACGCACUUAAAUAGCAGCACUCUGACACAAAAACGACACUAAAACACAACAAACACUCUGAUGGACACACACACACACACACACACAUCUGUGCACUUGUUUCUCCCUCACCAGCAGUUAUUGCCAAUGAUGCACUUGUGUUUUUGUCUGGAGAUGCUAAGCUAAACAUGUGAUGUCAAAAAAAAGUACACAGAUUUCUAGGCAUCUUGUCUUUAUAAACAAAAAAAGAAAAUAAAAAAGUAAAGUGUAUUCUCUGCACUGAGACCCAGCUGGGUAGAAGAUUAAAUGAAAGUUUUUUUUGCAGUACAUACAGACAGAAAGGACAAUUGCCCACAGCCUCGCACGCUCUUAGCUUAGCUCACUUGUACCUUGGUGUGCCUCAAACCCACAGCCUUAUUUUGGGACAAUAUCAGGGGUUAUGAACACAGAAUAUACUGGACAAUCUGUCUUUGUUUUACUCCUGUUCACACACUUUUGGUGGCUUUUAUUUCUUCUGUUUUUCUCAAGCAUACAUUUGUUACAUUGUGGUAGGUUUUAGCCAUCAACUGUAGCUGGUAGAAAGUGAGUGUAAAUAGAGUUUCCACUCUUCUGGGUGAUUUUUAUAUUUCUUAUUUGGAAAAAUUAGAUUUGAUUUCUAAAGAAAACACGCAGCUCGACCCAUUUUCAUCAUCAUCAUCAUCAAAAAAAAAAAAAGUUUCAAAAUCGUACUUUGUCACACUAAAGUCCCAAGAUAAGCUGCGUCGCCCUCACACUUGCACACCACAUUGCAGUAGAAACCCUCCAUACCUCAGUGUUUCUCACAGAAACUGGUCUUUAAUUUCUUUGCUACAUUUACAGCUGCCAUUGCAUCACUGUUGAUGACACACGCCGUCAUUAGCCUAAUAUCAAGAAAAUAAUAAUGUUGUAGUGUUGAAAACUUUAACUCAUUGUUUUGUUUCUCUGGUCAUAAAUCACCGCCUGUACUUUGUGUUGCAAAUUUUUGGCUCUUCUUUGAUUACAUUGCAUUGUAUGUAGUUUAAAAAAAAUACUGAUUGAUGACAUUUCGGGGUAAUCACAAAUAAAAAAACGCUGUAAAUAAUGAUGCAAAACAACCCCAAGCUUCCUGUUGAGUUUUUGUUUUCAUGGGAUUGUUGUCUUUAAAAGGUCAAAGUACACAGCACCUGAAACACAACGGUAGAGGUGUAGUACAUGUGUUCUGUCGAUAGGUGGCAGCAUACACAUGAUGUAUGGUAUCAGUUGAUAAUUGUUUGCACUUAUUUUUUAAAGUUAAAAACAAAAUUAACAUUAAAUAACGUUUAAAUUAUACUUUACACAGACUUUCACACUAAAGUUUUUUUUUUUUAGUCUUUAAUUAUAUUUUGAGACUUUGUUCCAUUUUUGUAUUUCCUUUUUUUGGCCCUUUCCCCCAUUUUCUUUUUUUCCUUGAGACCCUUUCAUUUAAAAGUCUUCUCACACCUGUAUGUACAGUAUGUGGAACAGUCUGCUGUCUCGGCUGUAAUGGCCGUGUUGGCCAGUGUACAACCAGUGCCUUACGGUACAGUAUGUACAGUCACUGUGCAGCCGGAGACAUCAGUAUCUGGUUGGUGGUCAGGGGGCUUCAUCUACGUGCAGCUUUUAUUUUGAAAAUCCCCUGUCAGCCAUACUUAAGUUGGUGGUUUUUUCCUUCCUUCCCUCCUUCCUUCCUUCCUUCCUUCCUUCCUUCCUUCCUUCCUUCCUUUACUGUCACCCCACCCAUUUCCUCUCUCUCCUUCAUUUCAUCCAACAGUCUUCUCUUGGCUCCUCCUCUUUUCCUAAACACUGAGGCAGAAUAUUACACUCUUAUUUUUAAAGGCUCAUAGAUAUAAUAUGAAUCUACAGCUGCAUCACUAAGAUUCAUGAGAUUCUUUGAAAAGUGGUAUAGAUCCAUUAUGCUGCAUGUUGGAAUGCAUCAAAAACCCAAGGACUACAUUUGAAAGAAGACAGUGUUGGCCUCACAUCGCUUCCCUCCUCCCAGAAGGGAGUCUCCUCCAAUAUUUCUCACUUGUCUCAUUUUCACAUCAUGAGCUCUGUUGCUUUUUUUCCCCUUUAAAAAGAAGAAGGGAAGGAGGAGGAGGAGGAGGAGGAAUGUUUCAGAGGAUAAGAUUCUCCAUUCUGCAGCCAAGUGUCCGACAUCCGCAGCUGCUGCAGGAGACAAAUGGAGAAGUUGCCGGAGUCUUUAACGCAGCAUUUUAUAUUUAUGUCUCCACUUUCUCACAGUGAAUCAGGCACAUUCUCAAAUAACCUGUCAUCUUUACACAAUAAAUGUACCUACCUCCCUGACUGCUCCACACACCAAUCCCAACAGUUCCCCCGGCACAUUCUGAAGACACAGCACUACUUUCUAAGAAGGAGAGAGAGACAGAGCUGAGGUAAAAGACUGUACCGUUACAGUACGAAUGUCUCUGAACAACUCAAUUAUCCUCCGAGUCCUUAAAGCAAUUGUUUCAUUGAUUUGUUUCAGAGAAUUUCUCAACUUCACUGGUGCAGGCCAACGAUCUGCUCUUCCUCCUGAGUGAUGCGUUCAUGGACAUCUCCAAGGUCAGGGUCGCAGGGAGCUGCAGCCAGUCCCGGCUGCCGUCACCCGAGGCUUCACCAGUAACAUCGAGAAUAUCUUUGGACUUUUUGAGGACACCAAACUACCUUGAGAAACCCCAGCCACACAGAGAGAGACCAUACAAACGUUAUACAGAGAGACAGGACUGAUCACUGAGGUUUAACAGACGAGGCUGGUAACCAAAACAAAAGAGGGGAGGUGGAAACACACUGGACAACAGCGCGCACUCACUCACUAAUCAUUGUGUACAAGCAAAAUCACACCCACAGCCGGAGACGUCUUUCCAGAUGUGUGUGGAGGAGAGACUGCGUCUGAGAAGUUAGGUCAGAGACAGUGACAGAGUAAGGUAUGUGCUGCGCUCUCUCUCUCUCUUUCUUUCUUUCUUUCUCUCUCUCUUUCUCUUUCUCUCUCUCUCUCGCUGUGUGUGUCCUGAAUGGAGACGUAGAUUUACAGGGACCCCGCCCUUGUAUUUAGUCAUUUUAAUGACAAACACAUUCUUUGCCUUUUAUUACACACACACACAUUCACUCACACAUUCAUUCACACACACAUGCACCGCCCCCAAACACACAGACACACACACACUCCAUAUGUCUGCCAUGCAUUUGACAUCGAGGCGCAGCAUUGUUUUAUUUGGCCAAAAUGAGAGUCAGAUGUGUUGAACGAAUCUGAUAAACAACCUGCAGCGAACAAGUGGCUCCAUCAUAGUCUGGAGGACUGACCUCGUCCGUUAGGAGACGAGCAGGGAUUUUUACAUUAAUAUUCCAUCGCUGGGAUCCAAAUUAGAAUGAGGUGUCUUACUGUGGGAUAACAAAUUAAUGCUUCGUCUCCUUAUACGUCCUGCCAGACGCAGGCCUGCAUCCUAUUUAAACUCCAUGACCGCAGCUGAAGAAACCUGGGAGGGAACCAGCGAGAGGCCAAAGAGCAAUCGACUGUUUCACAACGUGUUCGGACAAACAACCGACUCUACUCAUUUAAAACUGAUGUAGCUCUGUGUUCUGGACCUCCACCCACAGUUUCAUGGCUUUGACUCAUCACACAUCAAUUUUCUUCAAAAGCUGUAGAAUAAGCCCACCCCAC